rnacentral:rRNA from 1 species
AACGCGAAGAACCUUACCUGGGCUCGAAAUGUAGUGGAAUCCGGUAGAAAUAUCGGCGCCCAGCAAUGGGCCGCUAUAUAGGUGCUGCAUGGCUGUCGUCAGCUCGUGUCGUGAGAUGUUGGGUUAAGUCCCGCAACGAGCGCAACCCUUGUUACCAGUUGCUACCAUUUAGUUGAGCACUCUGGUGAGACCGCCUCGGAUAACGGGGAGGAAGGCGGGGAUGACGUCAAGUCCUCAUGGCCUUUAUGUCCAGGGCUACACACGUGCUACAAUGGCCGGUACAAACCGUCGCAAACCCGUGAGGGGGAGCUAAUCGGAAAAAGCCGGCCUCAGUUCGGAUUGGAGUCUGCAACUCGACUCCAUGAAGCUGGAAUCGCUAGUAAUCGCGGAUCAGAAUGCCGCGGUGAAUACGUUCCCGGGCCUUGUA